AAUCUGCUGGCGACCGGCGCACGGGUGAGUAACACGUAUCCAACCUUCCGAUAACUCGGGGAUAGCCUUUCGAAAGAAAGAUUAAUACUCGAUAGUAUAAGUUUCCCUCCUGGUUAACUUAUUAAAGAAUUUCGGUUAUCGAUGGGGAUGCGUUCCAUUAGUUUGUUGGUGAGGUAACGGCUCACCAAGACUACGAUGGAUAGGGGUUCUGAGAGGAAGGUCCCCCACAUUGGAACUGAGACACGGUCCAAACUCCUACGGGAGGCAGCAGUGAGGAAUAUUGGUCAAUGGACGCAAGUCUGAACCAGCCAAGUAGCGUGAAGGAUGACGG
rnacentral:rRNA from 1 species